rnacentral:lncRNA from 1 species
CUGCCUAAUGGAAGCUGUUUAUAUGCAAAAUCCCCAGGAAAAAAAAAACGGCAGCAGAUGUGCAUGGCAGCACUGUGCUGGGACACGUACCACCAGCCCCCCGCCUGCUGUGCCAUCACAGCACUGAGUGGAUGUCCACUGAUUGCUCAAGCUCAGCACCUCCCUGGCUGCUCCCUGCUGUUUGCACCGUCUCUUCUUCCUCACUCUCCUCAUCCGUGUUGAUCUCCUUCUCCAUGCAUUUGGGCACGGAAGAUGGAGGUGUAAGGAUGGCUUCCUGUACUUCAUGCCAGCGUGGGAAAGGCUGAGGCCGCAUCCCAGCCGCUGCAAAGCCCCCCGGUGCCUCCGCCUGACCCCGCCAUGGGGAAGCAGCGCUGCCUCCUCACCUGCUCCAACAGCUGGGGCCAUCUCUGUGCUUCUGGGCACGGCUCUGUUUUCGCCACCUUUGUCCAAAUUUGCAGUUCAUGGCUGGAGGACUCACCCGCAAUCCCCCUGGAGAAUGGCGUGGGCUGUCGGCACCCAUGCACCUGCCGUGCUGCUCCUUCCCUUUCCGUUUGGGACAGGAUGCAAAGUAGCACCACCAGCCCCACCCUGCACGCGAG